CUUGGGACAGGUAACUGGGGGAACUUUCCCUUUGUCCUAGGGUUCUCUGUUUAGGGCUGAUCAAAGCCAUAUCAAAGGAGCGCACUCCUGUGCUCUCCCCAUGUGUCAGCCUCCACCACGGAACGAUGAAGGACGAGGCCCUCACUAGCCGAGGGCAUCACUGUGUCCCCAGGCACCCAGGCCUCCAGAGCCGUGGAAAACGAAAUUCGCUUUAUGAACUACCCAGUCUGAGGGAGUUAGUUUAGCUGCAGAAAAUGGAGUAAGAACCCCGGAAGUCAUGAGCUCCUCCCCAUACAGCUUCCCACCGCACUCUGGCUUCGCUAACCUGACGCACUUUCCACAUCUGUAGCUGCAGGCAGCACUUGUUUCCUCCUUUGCCUCCCCUCACCCCUGGAGCUUCCCCUGGUGGUGGCCUGGUUGGUGGCAUCCUCACUGCUGCAGCACCAUCUGUGUUUCCCCACAUGGAUGGCAGAGAACCAGCCAUGCAGACGAGAACAUCUGUCCUCCAAAGGGGUCUGGGACAGCCACUGAGAACCCAGCUUGCAGGACGCACAGCGCAUUAUCCCGAAAGAACGAUGUGAGACGGCCAAGAACUGUCCGUGUGGCUCUGGGGGUAUCUCGACGCUCAAAGUCUCCUGCACAGAAAGUAGUUCCCAAGACCCCUCACCACCACCCCGGAUCCCUCAGUGGCUCCCCCAGGCCCUGGGAUGCCCACAGCUGUCCCCUCAGCACACUGCCCACGGUGUGCCCUCCCCUUGCUGCACUGUCUUGGCUACCCCUUGGUCUGCAGGGUUUGCACUGAUUUUCUGGAGCCAAGUGGAGCCUGGCAGUCCUCAGGCCUCCUGCACACGCGCAGAGAGUGGCAUGAAGACGAGGAGCUGCAGCAGGCUUGGGCUCAUCAGACAGAGAAGGUGAUUGCACUGACCAAUCAAUCGGGCAGAUGGAGGAGGACCACAGACAGACACAUCAGGAUCAUCC
rnacentral:lncRNA from 1 species